AUGGAACAAUGUAGGCAAGGGAAGUCGGCAAAACGGAUCCGUAACUUCGGGAAAAGGAUUGGCUCUGAGGACUGGGCUCGGGGGUCCCGGCCCCGAACCCAUCGGCUGUCGGCGGAUUGCUCGAGCUGCUCACGCGGCGAGAGCGGGUCGCCGCGUGCCGGCCGGGGGACGGACCGGGAAUCGCCCCUUCGGGGGCUUUCCCCGAGCAUGAAACAGUCGACUCAGAACUGGUACGGACAAGGGGAAUCCGACUGUUUAAUUAAAACAAAGCAUUGCGAUGGUCCUCGCGGAUGCUGA
rnacentral:rRNA from 1 species